GACGAACGCUGGCGGCGUGCUUAACACAUGCAAGUCGAACGGUGAAGGGGCCUGCUUUUGUGGGCCCUGGAUGAGUGGCGAACGGGUGAGUAACACGUGAGUAACCUGCCCCCUCCUUCUGGAUAACCGCAUGAAAGUGUGGCUAAUACGGGAUAUUCUGGGUCUGUCGCAUGAUGGGUCUGGGAAAGAUUGCGCCUUUGGGUGUUUUUGGUGGGGGAUGGGCUCGCGGCCUAUCAGCUUGUUGGUGGGGUGAUGGCCUACCAAGGCGGUGACGGGUAGCCGGCCUGAGAGGGUGGACGGUCACACUGGGACUGAGACACGGCCCAGACUCCUACGGGAGGCAGCAGUGGGGAAUAUUGCACAAUGGGCGCAAGCCUGAUGCAGCGACGCCGCGUGAGGGAUGGAGGCCUUCGGGUUGUAAACCUCUUUCGCCAGUGAAGCAGGCCUGCUCCUUGUGGGUGGGUUGACGGUAGCUGGAUAAGAAGCGCCGGCUAACUACGUG
rnacentral:rRNA from 1 species